GCCCCGGGGUGACAGGUUCGUACCUCCCGCCAGACGAGCACUGGCCCGCCAUCUUGGCUCGUGGAGACGUGGACGGUUCCUUUUGGAGAACCCACAACACCGCGCCUCGCCCUGCACCACAAACCCCGGGCGGAAAGUUGCAUGUUUUCCCGCUCCUCAGGGCAGCAGUGAUAGCAGCAGGAGCAUGAUGGAGGGCAGGAAGUGCGUGGUGUGUGUCGGCGUCCCAGACGACAAAGACCCUUGCAUCCUGCUGCUGCACGGUAUAACGGAGCACACGGCCACGCCGCUGCGGGAGGUGGUGGGGCCGGCGCUGCAGCCUCACCUCACCUCCACUGACAUCAUCUGUGCGCGCUGCCUCAAGCUCUUCAACGAGAAGGACAGACUCCAGAAGCUGACGACAGACAUGGGCAGCCACAUCCAGACCAAGAUCCAGAAGGUGGGGACUGCAGGGGACGCUGCUGCUGCCGUGGGGGCCAUAAACAUAGUGGUGGGCAGCGCCCCGGAGAGGCAGGGCAUCAAGGACCAGCUGGAGAGGCAGUACAAGGGUAUGAAGGUGGCGGCGGAGGGGGCGGCAGCCAUGACCUCAGAAACACAACCCUCAGAGGCUCAGAAAGGAAGGAGCAAAGUGGACACCAACAAAGGGAGCAGUGUCCUCAAGCGCCGCCGAGGCCGGCCGCCCAACGCCUCGAACAGCAGUGCCCUGAAGCCCCAGCAGCCCCGGCAGCACCAGCAGCCACCGCCGCUCAUGGUGAACCAGCGGGAGAAGCGGAAGCGCUCAGCCAAGUUCAGCACCUUUCUGGAAGUGCUGAAGGGUGAGAAAGAGUUCUACAUCGAGGACGAGGAUGUGGAGGAGCCGAAGGGAAAGAGGCGGAGUGUGGGGAAGCAGAGAACAGCCCUGCCUGGCGUGGAUAUCGUGGAGGUGGAGGCAGGCCGAGAGGAAGAGGGGCCGGAUGGGACCUGCAUCAUCCAGGUGACCGACAUGGGCUUGCCGGCGCCAAGGGAGGGCCUGGCCCUGGACGAUGUGGUGCAGGAGAUCCUGGGCCUCACUGGUGAUGCCACAGGGCCACUCAUCUCCAUGGAGGGCCUGAGCUGCAGCAGAGGCACCCAGGAGGAGGAGGAGGAGAACCUGAUCAUUGCCAUCAGCAAGAUGAGUGCAGCGGUAGAGGCUGAGAGCAGCACAGAGGCCAGCAAGCCAGAGUCUGAUCCCAGCAUAAGGCUGGAGCCUCAGCAGGAGGAGCAGGAGGAGAGGGGAAAGCAGGAGCAGCAGCAGCAGGAGGAUGGCGGGGGUGGGCCCGGUGGAGGGCCCCAGGCGAAGAUGGAGCCCGGCGGUGGAGGCGCCUCGUCCUUCAUUGAGGUGACGGCGGUGAAGGAGGACCUGGCGGCCGGGGUGGAGGUGGUGCUGUCCCAUGGCGGGGGUGACACCUUUCACGCCACCAUCAGCAACCCCGCCACCCCACCCUCACCCUCCCCUGUCCCCACCCUCGCCCCCACUCCCUCCCCCACAGCCACCCCAGCCCCCACCCCCUUGUCAGCAAGCAUCAGGUCUGAGGUGUGUGGGGAUGCAGCAGGGGCCAGCAGUGCCACUGCCACCGCUGCCGUCAAGAAGUACCGGUGCAAAAUGUGUGCCAGCACCUUCCUGGGGCGGGAGGAGGCGCGGCAGCACGCCCAGGAGUGCCACAAGGCGACACAACCCCCAGCAGGCAGAUGUAAGCAGGACAGCUUCCCGUGCAGCGAGUGCGAGCGCUGCUUCCCCACAGAGCGCGGCCGCGACCGCCACCGCCUGCACAUGCACCACCGCCACCACCCCGUCCAGUGCCCGGACUGCCCCGCCACCUUCAACAGCUUCCGCCCGCUGGAGCGCCACCUCCGCCACGACCACGACCACAACCCCACACUGUACUGCGAGGCCUGCGACAUGGAGUUUGUUCUUGGCACCUCCCUGGAGCACCACAGGGAGAUCAUGCACCCCGCCCCCCCAGGCAGGGUCAAGACCACCAGGGCGCCCCCCCGCCAGCGUAUCAAGAAGCCGGACAAGCAGAGGCACGUGUUCUGCUGCCCCCUGUGCAGGGAGGAGGUGGCGGGGGUGAAGGCUUUCCGCCUCCACCACCAGAAGAUGCACAAUGGCUGCGAGUACACCUGCAACUACUGCAGCUUCAAGACUCUCUGCUUCAGCUCCCUCAACAGGCACAUGGUGCGGGUGCACAAGGCCUUCGACAUGAAGCUCUACACCUGCAGCAGCUGCUCCGCCUGCUACAGUCUGGCGCGGGACCUGGAGGAGCACUACCGCUGCAUGCACGGCGCCGAGCCCACGCUGCUCUGCCAGCACUGCGGCGACAAGUUUGCCUGCGCGGAGAUGCUCAGGUUCCACCGCAACACCCACCGAGCCUUCCAGUGCAAGCUGUGCCACCUGGGCUUCAUGAAGGAGGAGGCGCUGGAGGACCAUGUCAGGACAAUCCACUCCUGCGACCCUGUUGGCAGCACGGAGAGCAGUGGCACCAAAGGCCAGGCGGAGGCUAAGGGGGCGAGUGCCAAGGCUAAGGGCGACGAGAGGGGCCGCAAGGGCAGCGAGAGCACUGCGUUGGAGCCCAAAGUGUUGGUGAUAACCAGCGACGGGUUGGUGCAGGUCAAGGAGGAGAAGAAAGAGGUGGGCGGCGAGCCCUCGGGUGACGUGACGCUCCACCUGCAGCAGACGGUGGAGGGCGGCCUCGAGGAGAUGGACGUGUUGAACCCCCUCAAGGGUCAGCGUGUCAAGGACCUGCCCAAGAAGAUGAACUGCCCGGUCUGCAACAAGGUCCUCACCACCAAGUUCCUGCGCACGCACAUGCUGAGCCACAAGGGCAGCCUCCCCCACAAGUGCCAAUUCUGCGACAAGGCCUACGCCCAGGGCACCCUCCUGCGCAAGCACAUGAAGAACCGUCACCACGAAGAGUUCCAGAAGCUGGGCAACAAGAACCCCAAGAAGCACAAGGUGGCAUGCGACUUCUGCCAGGAGAUCUUCGACAGCAUCUACCUGCUGGAGGAACACCUGUGGAUGCACAUGGAAGAGAAGACCUUCGAGUGUUCGGACUGCAAGAUAAAGUUUGGCAUGGAGAGCAACCUGCGGGAGCACUACAAGAGCCACUACUUCAAGGAGGCCAAGCCGUGCCCCGUCUGCCAAAGGGAGUUCAAGUCCAUCGGCUACUACAAUGACCACGUGGAGAAGUGCCAGAAGCGGUGGAAGUGUGAGCAGUGCGGCCUGGAGUGCGACACACAGGAGUAUUACCGGAAGCACCAGCGGGCCGAGCACGGCGGGGAGAACGUGGUGCGGUACCAGUGCUCCCUCUGCGACAAGUCCUUCGUGGAUCGCCACCGCUACGAUGACCACAUGAUCACGCACUCCUCGGAGAAGGCCUUCACCUGCCACAUCUGCCUCAAGCAGUUCAAGCGCCAGCGGCCGCUCAAUGACCACCUCAUGCGCACACACUCCAGCAGCCUCCUGGUCUGCCCCUACUGCUCCAAGACCUUCCAGAAGCACACGGAGCUCAAGGCACACAAGCUCAAGCACAGGAGGGAGUACCCGUGCUCCUCCUGCAGCCGCUCCUACUCCUCCAACGAGGCGCUGGUCAACCACCACCUGGUGCACCACGCCGAGGCCACGCUCCUCUGCCACGUCUGCUCCGAGCCCUUCGCCAGGCAGCUCCACCUCAAGAACCACCUGGUCACCCACAGCUCCAGCACGCCAAACAUCUGCCAGGUGGAUGGCUGCCACAAGAUGUUCCGGUCCGAGAGCCUGCUCAGGAACCAUGCUGCCAGGCGCCACCAGGAGCUGCACUAUGACUGCUCGCUGUGCGACCGGAAAUUCAGCCUCGAGUCCGACCAGGUUCGGCACGCCGCCACGCACCUGGGUGGGUCGAGCGUGGCCUGUGAGGAGUGCGGCCGCAGCUUCCGCAGCGAGGCCCAACUGGAGCGGCACCUGCUGACGCACACGCAGGAGAAGCCCUACGAGUGCGAGGUGUGCCAGCAGUCCGCCAACAGCCGGCAGCAGAUCCUGCGGCACAUACAGGCGGAGCACGGGCUCACCGAGGGCACGUGCCACGUCAUUGUGAACCGCUGGCAGUGCUCCACCUGCAGCAAGAUGUUUGUGGCUCAGAGCUCCAUCCUGCGGCACCUGGAGGAGCACACCGGCCAGGGGGUGGAGGCCAUAGGCCAAGCCAUCAAAACCCGCCUGGUGCCGUCACCCACCCUGGAGCUCUCCCUGCCCUCGAGUUCGGUGGACCCGGCCACGGCCACAGACUCCUUCCUGGAGCAGGUGUCCUCCCUCAGCUGGCAGGACCUGACCAGACUCCUGCGCUUCCACAUCAUGAGCGAUGGCGAGGCAGACAAGGGGGAGCAAGCCGCCGUCAGCACCAGCGUGUGGCAGUGCCCGGGCUGCCUGCACGCCACGCACUCCGAGGACGACAUGCGGGACCACCUGGAGGGCUCCACGGAGUGCCAGGAGGCCGUCAUCCUCCAGCUGGCGGGGGGCCUGGCCGGCACGGAUGACAUGGAGGACGAGAGUGGUGCAGAGGAGCCCCUGGUGGACGGCCACAGCAACGAGACAGUGGUCCAGCUGGCCAGCGCCGACGGGGGCCUGCAGUACAUCAUCAUGAGGGAGGAGGGUGACACCUCCCCUCCGGGGCUCGGCGAGGGUUGCAAGGAGGGCCAGGGGGGGCAGGAGGCUGAGGAGGGCAUGCAGGUGCUGGUGAGCGUGGAUGACAGCCUGCAGCAGCUCCUCCACCAGCAGCCGACGAACCCAAACAUCCAGAUCGUGGUGGAGGACGCAGCGCCGCUCAAACAAUUCCUUGUCGAGAACACAAAUGCCGACGUCAACACAGACGCAGUGCCGAUCAACUCCUCGCCGACCAACGCCAGCCACGACGCCCUCCCGGCCGAGACGCCGCUGCUUAACGGGUCUGAGGUGCUGCUGCAGACAGUCGACGGGAAGCUCUUUCUACAGCAGACGGUUGGAGGCGUGACGCAGUACCAGCUAGUGGAAGGCGUACCAACAACACCAAUAGAGGACGGUGCGCCCGGCCUGCUGCCCACCGACCACGCCCCCACCCUGGAGGAGGGCUUCAUCAUGCCAAGUUAAGCCCACCUCACACCGCCUUAAUUAAACCUGAAACUUGUCGGGCUGAGUGUGUGUUCGUACAUUGAAGUCAUUCCAAUGAGUGUGCGUAGAGAAGACGUACAUAAUACUUGGAAGUGUCUGCUUGAGGGAUGAAAAUGAAUCUGCAUCAAGUUGGUGCAAUGAUGGAUGCUCUUUUUUUUUCCCUUGAUAAUUAAUAUUUUAUACGAUCUCAGUUUUCCAUUUUUUCUUCUUUUUUUUUAUUACAUGAAUACUCAUCUGAAGGGUGCAUACAAUUUGCUGGACAUGUGCUGCUACAAAAAUACACACACACACACACACACACACACACACACACACACACACACACACACACACACACACAACUCAAGUUACUCAAUAAACCUUUCUCUAGCAUUACAUGAAGUCAUUUCUUUCUGCAAUUUGACAUUACAGUUCUUUACACAUUUUAACAGCAAGGAGUUUCUCAGGGUGAAAUAGUCAAAGCCGACUGACGCAAGACUCAAACUGCUGUGCUAGUGUUGUGUUGCCGUCAUCAGAUUUUAAUGUUAUUUAAAAUAUUAUGUUUGUGGUCAUUUAAUUUCACUUGUUUUCUUCGAGUACCAGAAUUAUAUUGCUGGGAUGCUAGGUAUGAUGUCUUGAAAUGCAAUAGUUUUUUAUACAUAUCAAAUGUAUGUCUAUUUAUUGUGUUUAUUUAUGUAUUUUUACCUGACUCAUCGUAUGCUUGUGCAAGAGUCGAUCUGGUGCAAAAUUGAACCCUCUCUUAAACUAUGAUAAUUAUCUUCAAUUGAGGAAAUAAUCUGACCGCUUGAAAAAGUAGUAGUAGUAGUAGUAGUAGUAGUAGUUGCAUUAGUAGUAGCAUGAGUACCCAGGGUAGUAGUAGUAAGAGUAGUAAUAGUAAUAAUAUUAGUAGUAGUAAUAGCAGUAGUAGUAGUAGUAGUAGUAGCAGCAGCAAAAAGACCCUAAUAUGACCAUCAAAAAUUUAUAUUCAUGUAAAGACAGAACUUAAAUUUGGCCAUAAAAAAAUUGUCCUAAUGAAAUAGACUCUGAAGUUUAUGCAGCAUGACAGUGGCUGAGUUACAGUGACGAGGAAGAAGGGAAAGCUGGACACAGUGACAAAAGAAUAAUGAGUUGGAUGACAAUUAAGCAACAUAUUAUUAAUACUUGAGAAAACGAUGUGUUGCUUGCAGUUCUUUAUUGACAGUGAAUGAUCAAAUUACUCAGACUAGCAAUUUGGUUUGAGAAUGGAGUUGAUAAUUAAGUAUGACCAAUUAUAAGUGUAAGGAUCAAAUAUAGGUGCUCUUAAUUAUAUACAAGACACGACUGAAGUGUAGGAUUGAACACUAUGAAUGCAACUUCCACUUACUGUAUGUUGAUGGUCAUGUGCAAAAAUGGAGGUUAUAAAUAUGUAUGACCAAUGGAGUGAAUAGAUCAAGUAUUAUUGCUCUUAAUUAUACGCAAGACACGACUAUUAACUGUAGAAUCGGACACUUUCAAUGCGACUUAUUUACUGAAUAUUGAGGUUCAUGUUCGAAAAGGGAGGUUAUAAAUAUGUAUGACCAAUGGAGUGUAUAGAUCAAGUAUUGUUGCUCUUAAUUAUACGCAAGACAUGGCUAUUAAGUGUAGAAUCAGGGACUUUGAAUGCAACUUUUUUUUUUUACCAUGUUGAGGCUCAUGUUCAAAAUUUAGGUUAUAAUUAUGUAUGACCAACUAUGAGUGUAUGGAUCCAGUAUUGUUGCUCAUAACUAUACACAAGACAUGAUGAUGAAGUGUAAAAUUAGAUACUUUCCAUGCAACUUUCACUUUCUGUAUGUUGAGGGUCAUGUUCGAAAAGGGAGGUUAUAAUUAUGUGUGGCAAAUGAAGUGUAUAGAAUAGAUCCAAGUAUUGCUGCUCUUAAUUAUGCAGAAGACAUGACUAUGGAGCAAUAUGUAGAAUCAGGGACUUCAACUGCAACUUCUUUUUACUGUAUGUUGAGAGUCAUCUUUGAAAAUGGAGUGUCAAGUUAUCAAGUAUUGUUCGUCUUUAUACAAAAUACAGGACGAUAAAUGGAGUGUAGCAUCAGGGACUUUCAAUGCAUCUUAUAUUACUGUAUGUUGAGGUUCCUGUGGUUUGAAAAUGGAGUUUGAAAUUAUAUGUAUAUGGAUGAAGUAUUGUUGUUCAGAAAAAAAGACUAUGAAGUGACAUGUAGAAUCUGGGACUCUGAAUGGUGAGGUUCCUGUGGUUUGAAAAAAAAAAGUUUGAAAUUAUAUGUGUAUGGAUGAAGUAUUGUUGUUCAGAAAAAAAGACUAUGAAGUGACAUGUAGAAUCUGGGACUCUGAAUGGUGAGGUUCCUGUGGUUUGAGAAUGGAGUCUAUAAUUACGUAUAACCAAUUAAGUCUAUGGAUUAAGUAUGUUGCCCAUAAUUAUCCACAAGACAGGACGAGAAAGUGGAGUGUAGAAUUGGGGACUUUCAAUGCAGGUUUUCUUUACUGUAUUUUGAAGUUCUUGUGUCUAGGGCGGUUGACAUAAACUUGAGACUAAAGGAUCCGUUGUACAGUUGCCAAAAAAAGUCAGGCAUGCUGGGUGACUUUCAAAACUUUUUCCAGGUUGAGAGAUAGGUGGCAGCACUUGUAAAGACAUACACACAUAAAAGUAUCAAACAUCCUUGGGUCGCCGGAAUAUAAUUUAAGCGAAUUUUAUAGACAUGGUGUUGUGUUGGUUAGUUUGGCACCACUGGGUAGACUUUAGACAUUGGGACCAACCUAUUCGACACCACACCAAUACAAGUUUCGCUCAGAUUCUGUUCCAAUGACUUAAGGGUGUUUGAUACUUAUUUUGCCGACUGUACAAGUGUUGCCAUCUAUCUCUCAACAUGGGAAGAGCUUUGAAAGUCCUCUAGCAUGUGUGGCCCAGUGCAUAGAUGAAGUGUUGUUUCUUGAGUGCUAAAUGACUUGACUAUAUUGGACCUUUGCAUCAUUGAAAGACUGGAAUGUGUGUUGCAUUUUGGGUGUUCUUAGUUAUUUAAAAUGUUGCAUGUGGGACACACACACACACACACACACACAAAGCCUUUUUAAACUGUAAAUAGGUAUGAAAUGUGUAAAUAACUGUGUGUGUGUGUGUGUGUGUGUGUGUGUGUGUGAAGAAAACAAACACAUGUAUAAGGCCUGUAUUUAAUAAUGUGUAUGUGGUAAUGAAUUAGUGUGUGUGUGUGUGUGUGUGUGUGUGUGUGUGUGUACAAAGAAAGUGUGCUGUUUUUUUAAAUCUUGACUGACAGGAGGCCGUCACUACGACAACCACUGUUGCUGUUGUUAAUAAUUCUCUGACUAAUAAACAUAAAAUCCAGUC